GAGAGUUUGAUCCUGGCUCAGGAUGAAUGCUAGCUACAGGCUUAACACAUGCAAGUCGAGGGGCAGCAUGGUCUUAGCUUGCUAAGGCCGAUGGCGACCGGCGCACGGGUGAGUAACGCGUAUCCAACCUGCCUUACACUCUUGGACAGCCUUCUGAAAGGGAGAUUAAUACAAGAUGUUAUCAUGAGUAAGCAUUUUCACAUGAUUAAAGGUUUACCGGUGUAAGAUGGGGAUGCGUUCCAUUAGAUAGUAGGCGGGGUAACGGCCCACCUAGUCUUCGAUGGAUAGGGGUUCUGAGAGGAAGGUCCCCCACAUUGGAACUGAGACACGGUCCAAACUCCUACGGGAGGCAGCAGUGAGGAAUAUUGGUCAAUGGACGAGAGUCUGAACCAGCCAAGUAGCGUGAAGGAUGAAGGUUCUAUGGAUUGUAAACUUCUUUUAUACGGGAAUAAACGAAUCCACGUGUGGAUUUUUGCAUGUACCGUAUGAAUAAGGAUCGGCUAACUCCGUGCCAGCAGCCGCGGUAAUACGGAGGAUCCGAGCGUUAUCCGGAUUUAUUGGGUUUAAAGGGAGCGUAGAUGGGUUGUUAAGUCAGUUGUGAAAGUUUGCGGCUCAACCGUAAAAUUGCAAUUGAUACUGGCAGUCUUGAGUACAGUUGAGGUAGGCGGAAUUCGUGGUGUAGCGGUGAAAUGCUUAGAUAUCACGAAGAACUCCGAUUGCGAAGGCAGCUUACUAACCUGUAACUGACAUUGAUGCUCGAAAGUGUGGGUAUCAAACAGGAUUAGAUACCCUGGUAGUCCACACGGUAAACGAUGAAUACUCGCUGUAGGCGAUAUACAGUCUGCGGCCAAGCGAAAGCAUUAAGUAUUCCACCUGGGGAGUACGCCGGCAACGGUGAAACUCAAAGGAAUUGACGGGGGCCCGCACAAGCGGAGGAACAUGUGGUUUAAUUCGAUGAUACGCGAGGAACCUUACCUGGGCUUAAAUUGCAACCGAAUAUGGCGGAAACGCUAUAGCUAGCAAUAGCGGUUGCGAAGGUGCUGCAUGGUUGUCGUCAGCUCGUGCCGUGAGGUGUCGGCUUAAGUGCCAUAACGAGCGCAACCCUUGCCGAUAGUUACUAACAGGUUAUGCUGAGGACUCUGUCGGGACUGCCAUCGUAAGAUGUGAGGAAGGUGGGGAUGACGUCAAAUCAGCACGGCCCUUACGUCCGGGGCUACACACGUGUUACAAUGGGGGGUACAGAGGGCUGCUACCACGCAAGUGGAUGCCAAUCCCAAAAACCUCUCUCAGUUCGGAUUGAAGUCUGCAACCCGACUUCAUGAAGCUGGAUUCGCUAGUAAUCGCGCAUCAGCCACGGCGCGGUGAAUACGUUCCCGGGCCUUGUACACACCGCCCGUCAAGCCAUGGGAGCCGGGGGUACCUGAAGUGCGUAACCGCAAGGAGCGCCCUAGGGUAAAACUGGUGACUGGGGCUAAGUCGUAACAAGGUAGCCG
rnacentral:rRNA from 1 species